rnacentral:rRNA from 1 species
CAGUAGCCACGGGAAUACGAAGGGGGCUAGCGUUGCUCGGAAUGACUGGGCGUAAAGGGCGCGUAGGCGGAUUGUUUAGUUAGGCAUGAAAUUCCUGGGCUUAACCUGGGGACUGCGCUUAAUACAGGCAGUCUAGAGUGAGGAAGAGGGUUGUGGAAUUCCCAGUGUAGAGGUGAAAUUCGUAGAUAUUUGGAAGAACACCGGUGGCGAAGGCGGCAACCUGGUCCUUGACUGACGCUGAGGCGCGAAAGCGUGGGGAGCAAACAGGAUUAGAUACCCCGGUAGUCCCUGUCUCUUAUAC